GUGCUCACUUUGGCAGCACGUAUACUAAAAUUGGAAUGAUACAGAGAAGAUUAGCAUGGUCUCUGCACAAGGAUGACACACAAAUCCGUGAAGGAUUCCAUAUUUUU
rnacentral:snRNA from 1 species